GCCAGCAGCUUGGUCUGCAGACAAAGCUCCUGACAAGCACAUAAUAUGAUAACAUUAUAAUCAAAUUCAAAUAUCAUUGUUUUAUUAUUAUUCCUAAAUGUUAUGGCCACCAGUCUGGCCUCUUCAGGUGCAGGAGCCAGGAUCACCCAGCCCCGGUGAUCAGCCAGACACCGCCCCUCCUCCUCCUCUCCCCCAGGCUGCUGAGGAGCACAGCUGAGCUGAAUCGCUCUGACAACCCACACCUGGAAUAAAAAGGCUGUGCCCUCAGCAGUCUGGGAGGCAGCAGUCUAGGGGUUCUGCUGUCCUCCAGGCCUUACGCUUUGUUUUAAACCCCUUUUGUGUGUUUCAGAAGAUCUGUGAUCGUUUUGGUUUAUGUAUUGUUUUUAAGGGUAACAUCGUACUUUACCGACUUUGGGAUUUUAAAACACUGGGUGUUUUCGUAGUGCGUCGGUUUUUAUAAUCAACUUGUGUUUUUUAAAACACCUUCUGUUUCGGGACCCAUGAGCCGACCAGAAGGGGAGACUUGGGCUCCCUAUAAAAAUUGUGCCGUCUGUGGAUCUACCUGCAGCGGCAUCCGCAGCAGCUGAGGAACCUGGAACUCCUGCAUGUUGUUGAACCUGAGCCGACUGAAGAGGUGGAAGCAAACUCCUGGUUGACAUCGCCCAGCUCUGCAGGGACACAACACACCCCAAACACUAGCUUUGGACACCCAAACUGUCUUUAACAUGGAGACACGACUGAGUGUGUCAAAGGAUUUCUGCAAAAACGGCAACAAAAGGUGGCGAAGGCUUCAUUGCCUUUUUCUGAUCCAGAGUCUGCAUGUCUGAAUGUAAAGUCAACACCUGGUAGCUGAGAGAUAGCACACAUCAGACAGACAAGCUACAGGAUAGCCAGAAGAGAGGAGAGCAGAGGACGGCUCAAUUUCAGCUCUGAUUAGCUAACAGCAACGCAACCCUCCCCCUGACUGUUUGCUUUGCAACUUUAAUGUUUUAUCCCACCAAUAACACAGGAAGCAGGCGUUCUGCCACGUGAUAGACUUGCUAAUGCUAACGGUUAGCUUCUACUAGCCAUGACAUUCUCUGCUGUACCCUGGACACCAAAAAAACGUCCUUCCUCGUCUCGAACCAAGAUGGGCGAGUCCAUAAAUUCUCAUUUUCUGUGUUACAUAAAUCUGAUUGGCUUUUCUAAUCUGAGCAUUUCCCCAUCUAUGGCUAAUGCAGGAAAUUAGGGUAGAUGACUAUUUUCACAUUCAACUUAACUGUGAAACUCAGAGAAACUAUCAUAUUUUAAAGAUAACCAGUAAAAACUGUUUCUCAGUAAACGUCACCAUAAUAAUAAUAAUAAUAAUAAUAAUAAUAAUACAUUUUAUUUAAAAGCGCCUUUCAGGACACCCAAGGUCACUUUACACAAAACACGUGAUAAAAUACAAUAAAACAAUAAUAAAACCCAAAGAAGAAAAAACAGAGAGAAACAUUUCAAUAAAAUCAGAGGUUGUAGGCAGAUUUAAA